CUCUUGAUGGCACAGUUGGUAGCGCGUUGGACUGUAAAGGAAAUACAUUAGAGAUCCACAGGUCGUGUGUUCGAGUCACACUCAGGAGA